GUGGGCUGACCGCAGGUGGCACAUGGGGAGGCUCCGCUGAUCGCUUCUCUUCUUCAGGGAUGCGGGAGGAAGCAAGUCCACCAGCUGGCGGAGGGUGGUGGGUUUCUGUGGGUCAAGAAUCCAGGAACGCAGUGAUUUCUUGGAUCCGACAACGAAAGCAUAGGCAAUAAAAGAAAAAACUAGAUCAAGGGGACUACAUCAAAAUUUAAAACUUCUUCAUGUCAAAGGACAAUCGACAGUGUGAAAAGAGAACCCAUGAAAUGGGAGAAAAUAGUUGCAAAUCGUGUAUCUGCUAAGGGAAUGACGUCCAGAAUAUGUAAAGAACCCCUGCAACUCAGCUCUGGAACAAACAGCCUGAUGCAGAAACCGGCAAAGGACCUGAACAGGUGUUUCUCCAAAGGCAACGCCCACAAGCCCCUGAAAAGGUGCUCAAAGUCACUGGUAUGAGGGAAAUGCAAGCUGACACCACAGUGAGACGGUGCCUCACACCCAUCAGGACGGCUGCUCUCAAAACACGGAAAACGACAAGUGUUUCUUGUUGGAGGAUGAGGAGAAAUUGGGGUGUUGUGUGCUGUUGGUGGGGAUGUGAAUUUGUAUAGCUGCUGUGGAAAACAGGGUGCAGGUUCCUCCAAAAAUUAAACACAGAAUUACUGUGUGAUCCAGCAAUCCUACUUUUGGGUCUUUCCCCAAAAGAAGUGAAAGCAGGGUCUUGAUGACAUACUGCACACCCGUGUUCACAGCAGCAUUGUUCACAACAGCAAAAACGAGGAAGCAACCUCAGUGUCCCUUGAUGGAUGAAUGGCGUUAAAAAGAAAACCACAGGCCCCAAACAAUGUUAUUUGUGCUAAAGCCCAUGACAUGAGCCUGGAUUUGAGGCCUGAUCUAACUGCACUUUCAGCCUCUCCCAGAAACGUCAUCUUAAUCGACCAGUCUGGAAUUUUCUGGUCAACACCAGUCGGGUAAUCGCUCACCUGGGCCCUCUUGGCUCCCCAGAAGAAGAGGCAUCCAUGUGACAAAGCCCCUACCUUUCCUUCCCCCAGGAGACAAGGAGACGCCCUGGCCCCAAGUUAGCCUUCCUUUUCUUUUCUGGGAGCUCCCUGCCCGACCCUCCUUCCUAUUGCAGCCUGCAGAGCUCCCUUCUAGUGGCUAGAUGAGGUGCUGCCCGAUUCAGAGGCGCUUAGUGAAGCCAAUUAGAGCUUCCCAUUUACUCAGUUGAAUUUUGGUUUUAACAAUGGACGAGCAAAACGUGGCAUAUCCAUAUGUGAUGUUGUGAUUU
rnacentral:lncRNA from 1 species